ensembl:lncRNA
UGUAAUGGGUUGAGAAUCCGUAAUGUUCAGUUUGGCUCAUUGGAAGUAGAUAACUUAAUGUUUUCGUAUAUUUUAAAUGGUAAGAUACGCCCACUGGCAUUAAACCGUGGCUUGACAUUGAGUACACCUGUGCGGCGCAAUCAUGAAGGUGCGUCAGGUUUUAGUGGCGUGAUUAAAAAGCCUGCUGAAGUGGGGCACUGUCAUUCUUCUCUGUGCUGUGUAGUAACAGGCUGCUCAUUUUGAUUUGCGUUGCCCUCUCUGGUGAGUUGUUUUUCGGAUUGCCCUUUUCUCAGUCACAGAUUAUAGUCUAAAUAUGUUUUUCAUCAGGAGUGUGUGUGUGAAGUGGCGAGCGCAGGUAGCAUCAAGUUCACUAUAGUUUAAGAAAUUCCUACGAGGUGCGGCCCAAGAGCGCUAGCUGCUGUUUUGUUUCGUUUUGUUAUAUUUACUUGUGUCACUGUUUUAUUGUACUGUUCGCACGACUGACGGCAGGGACGUCGCGGUUUUGAACCGCUGUAUCCAUUGAGCUCUUUAACGAGCCUUGCUCGUUAUGAAUUAUUGAGAUAUUAGACAGGCGUGUUCCAUGGGCUGUUAUAUCAAACUAACACGCUGGUAGCUGGGUCAGUUUAAAGUAGCUUCAACGGUCUUAAAAUAGUAGUAAAUGUCGUUUUAGUUUUGUUUGUGUGUAUACUACUUUUGUUUUCUUUUCUUCGUAAUUACCCAUUUAUUUGCCAGUGUAUAUCCACAUUGAUUAUUUGAACUGUGAUAUUGAAGCUUAACAGAAGUGGGAGGGUAUUUGUUUUCUUUUUGGUAUUGUUUCCUUUUUUUAUUUUUUUUGGUGAUCACUUGUCUUAACCUUUGUUCACUGAUUUGCUGUGUGGUUUGUCCCUCUCUGUUAAAGUGGGUUUAUUAUGGUCUCUUAUUAAUUGUGGGUAUCUAAUUGGUAAUUUGUAUGAGAUCUAUUUUUAGGAUG